UACGAAGGGGGCUAGCGUUGUUCGGAAUUACUGGGCGUAAAGGGCGCGUAGGCGGUGUGUCAAGUCAGGCGUGAAAGCCCCGGGCUCAACCUGGGAACCGCGCUUGAGACUGGCACGCUCGAGUUCGGGAGAGGACGGUGGAAUUCCCAGUGUAGAGGUGAAAUUCGUAGAUAUUGGGAAGAACACCGAUGGCGAAGGCAGCCAUCUGGACCGACACUGACGCUGAGGCGCGAAAGCGUGGGGAGCAAACAGG
rnacentral:rRNA from 1 species